AAUGGAGAUACAUCUUCGAGCAUCGCUGCAGCUAUACAACCAGAAACGCAGACUUCUGAUACUGCUGCUGAAAUCAACUCUGAUGCGCUCCCCUCUGCUUCCUUUAUAAGAACUGAUACCAUUAUUGUGGAUCAGCCAACAGGUUCAGAAACAACUUUUGCAUUGCUUCCCUCAUCUUCUAGGAGAACUAAUUCAAGAGGUUCUGAUUCAAACAACGGAUAUACAUCUGAACCUAGAAGGAGAAGGUUGAGAUAAACAAAAAGCUGUUUCCUGGAGAUAUAGAUCAAUAUAAUUCAAGUUUCCUCAUCAUUAUCCUGCAAACAUUUUUGUUUGCAGAAGGUUUCCGAAUUUAGUUCAUAUGGCUGUGUUUGGCAACCAUGUAUGAAGUUCUGACUGCUGUUAAAAGCAUUUUGAAUUCAUUCAGUAAAAAGGUACUGCAAUUUGAUGUAUGGCAUCUGGGCUAUCUAUAAGAGCACCUUUUUGUCCUCUUUCCAAGAAUUGAACUUUCCAUGGAAGAAUCUUUCGGUGUUGUUCUCUUUCAAGGAUAUAUUGAGGAUAGUUACUGGUGUUAUGCCAUGGCACAGGGUCCUUUUUGUAUGCCAAAGAGCAGUCUAUAUUUGCAAGUCUUAUAGGUGCUAAUUCUUGAUUCUGUAUGCUUGUACAUGCUUUAUAUCUUGGUAAAUAUAUAUGUACUACUACUAGCUUUUGAAACUGUCAGCUGCUAGUUCUUUAAACUGAUACUUUCUUGGAUUUUAUUAUGACAAGUCCAAAACUAAUGGUCGGUUGUGGCAUUAUUUUGCUGACCAACUCUACUUUCGUUGAGUUUACUUGAUCCUUCGAUUAAUUCUGCAUUAAGUUAUCAGGCACCAUUAUUCAUAUUGUAUAUUUUGGUUGGAUGAUAAGUGUUAAGAUAAGGUCAUAUGAGUUCAUACCAUUUGCCACCCAAUCCUCUAAGUUUGGAAGUAGAAAUAAAGAUAAUACGAUGGCAUUUUUCAAUGCUAAACAUUGACUUCUUGAAAUACCUUGGACAUGCAAGUGGUAAGAAGAAGAUUAGGAUUGCCAAUUUUUUCAAAAUUUGUGAGGGAUGUUGACAUUUAGCUCUAAAGAGAAAGAUUUCAGUUAGGGCUAUACUUUGUAAUAAGAACCUAUUUCUAAUGUCUUUUAAGAUGGCAGAAAUGUGACAAGGUAGCAAAUCUUAUCACUCAAAAUGGAAAGAAAAAAAAAAUUGGAAACAGCUGGUUGUCAGUCGCGUUCUUUUUGGUCUUCAUAGGUUUUUAAGUUGAAAGUCUGUACAUCAGUAGGCGUCUAAUUUUUACCAUUGUAGGUUUAAUUUUCAAAAUACAUAUGAAAACUACUCGGUCAAUGUUUGGUGCAUGAGCUUGGGCUGCCAAACUCUGAAAGUUCGAUCACUUUUUUGUUAAGUAUCCUAUGGAAGAAAAGGUCAGUUUCCCAUAUUUAGAUUCAAAUGCUAAUAGAUCCUGAGUGGUUUUUAAUCUUUGAUGCGCUGUUAUCUGGUUUGUAGAUUUCUCACUCCGUUAUUUUAUGACCUUAUCCUUGUUGAUGCUGGAGUUAAUUACUUUUGUUCGUUCCAUAUUUAGGGCAUAUAUUGUCUAUUUUGUUGUCUGACUCACCAGCUUCAGUUAUGCAUAUUGGUGAUAUAUAAGACGCCAUAAAUUACAUUUAUAGAACAUCAAGUUUCUGUCUUUGUGCAUGCCUGAUACAGUGCAUGAGUAUUACAUCGAGCAAAUUGUUUUUUUCUGUGAACAUGGUCAAGUAUUUGUCCUUGGGUAUGCUAGUGAUCACCUCAACAAGUAUCAGACAUUCACCGCUAAAAACAGUCUAUUUUUCUUGUUACCAAGGAAAAGUCAUUACCGUAUUCUAGAAUGAGAAAUAAAUGUUUCUGGUUAGAAAAUGAUAUCCUUCCACUUCCUUUCUCUAGUAGCAGUUCUUUCAUAGAUCACUGAAAGUAGUUAUACAAUGAAGAAGUUACUCAUUGGAAGCAUCAAUAUGAUUAUGUUAGGUUGAAAAUGAAGAGGACCUAAGAGUGAGUCCCUAUCAAUAAAUAAUGUGAGAUUUUAUGAAGGUGCACCUUCUUUCAUUGAAUUUUUCUAGCUUUUUGCUUAUCUCUUGGUCGUUCAGUGCUUCUUGUGGCAUACUUCAGAGCCGUGUUGGUUUAGAUGUUUGCCUCAAUCGUGGCCAUUGACUCGACCAUAGUAAAUCACCUCAGUUAUAUAGCUGAGUUAUUGCCAGAAGGUUGUUUUGGGUUUCAGUUCAAAAUUCAGAUUGAUUGACAUUGUUUGAAGGGACGUGGAAAUGGAAGACAAGAAGCAACCAGAUUUUAAAGAGGGAGAGUGAUUGCUGCUGUUGAAAUUGAAAGCGCGAGUUGCAGCUGACUGAGAUUAAGGUGCGAUUGCAUUGCAUGUGAUUUGUGGGGCUGUAUUAGAUUUUGCAAGUUGAAUCAAGUUUAUUCCUCUCAAAAGAGAAGCAUACAAGGUUGGUAGACAAAUGCAUAAAAGGCACAUAUAUAAGCUUAAAUCUAUCUGAGCCUAAACAUAUGUAGCAGAUUUGUUUGGGUAUUGGUUGAGGGAGGUGGCUUUCGACACACGUUCAACGCUUUCUCCUCCAGUUUUGGUACGUGAUUAUUAUCUAUAUAACUUUCUCAAGCAUUCGCUGCCUUAAUUAAUCUUAUUUACCUUUGGAAAGCAAAUUUAGGGGAUUCUUUUUUGCUUUUGAUUGGGAUUUUGUAGUUGAAUAAGGGACAUAUUCUGCACUCUCUUCGUGUUAUGUCUGGUUGAUUGAUGCUCAGCCUUA